AACCUGCUUCAAAAAAAGCUUGUGGAAAUGAUAUUUGGAAAAGAAUGAAAACUUGGAUUUCCAUUCUUUUAUCACCGUCAACUCUGCAGGAACCUGCGUUUGAAGAACUAAUUUUGCUUUACACGAAGGAUGCGAGUGA